UACGGAGGAUGCGAGCGUUAUCCGGAUUUAUUGGGUUUAAAGGGUGCGUAGGCGGUCCGUUAAGUCAGCGGUAAAAGCCCGGGGCUCAACCCCGGCGAGCCGUUGAAACUGGCUGGCUGGAGUUGGCGAGAGGUAUGCGGAAUGCGCGGUGUAGCGGUGAAAUGCAUAGAUAUCACGCAGAACUCCGAUUGCGAAGGCAGCAUACCGGCGCCGAACUGACGCUGAGGCACGAAAGCGUGGGGAGCAAA
rnacentral:rRNA from 1 species